rnacentral:lncRNA from 1 species
UGAGCUUUUAAUUGUUGUUGGCAAGGUCAUAAGAUUAACCCUACCCUUGAUGUGGCCUUAGGAUUGGUUUUACCCAAGUACAAUCCCAACAUAAACUUAACCCAAAUACAGUUUUAGCUCUUGAACUUUCCCGUGUUAGGUCUCUACGUUAUCCUAGUUUUAGUACAUCACUAACCUAGUCUCUAUCCAUGCACAAUAUUAGGUAAA